GCGGAUGUGGCGCAGUGGUAGCGCAUCACCUUGCCAAGGUGAGGGUCGCGGGUUCGAAUCCCGUCAUCCGCUCGA
rnacentral:tRNA from 72 species